AGAGUUUGAUCCUGGCUCAGAUUGAACGCUGGCGGCAUGCCUAACACAUGCAAGUCGAACGGCAGCACAGAGGAGCUUGCUCCUUGGGUGGCGAGUGGCGGACGGGUGAGUAAUGCAUCGGGAUCUACCCAGACGUGGGGGAUAACCUCGGGAAACCGGGACUAAUACCGCAUACGUCCUACGGGAGAAAGCGGGGGACCUUUUAGGCCUCGCGCGGCUGGACGAACCGAUGUGCGAUUACCUAGUUGGUGGGGUAAUGGCCUACCAAGGCGACGAUCGCUAGCUGGCCUGAGAGGAUGAUCAGCCACGCUGUGACU
rnacentral:rRNA from 1 species